rnacentral:ncRNA from 1 species
GGAUGAAGUAGAGGUGCGGGCGUCAAGAGUACUUUCAGGGAGAGUGGCAUCAAUGACCUGAGAGAAAAGGGGCGACCGCCGAAGUAAGCAAGACUGCCAAGUCUUCUUAUUGGUCUUACAUCAAAUAGAUUUAAGACUGUCACCAUUACUUGGUGGAGCGCUAUCUCAUCU